CAUUCUCANUAAACUACUUCC
rnacentral:tRNA from 1 species